CCUACGGGACGCAGCAGUGAGGAAUAUUGGUCAAUGGACGAGAGUCUGAACCAGCCAAGUAGCGUGAAGGAUGACUGCCCUAUGGGUUGUAAACUUCUUUUAUAUGGGAAUAAAAUGUUCCACGUGUGGGAUUUUGUAUGUACCAUAUGAAUAAGUAUCGGCUAACUCCGUGCCAGCAGCCGCGGUAAUACGGAGGAUCCGAGCGUUAUCCGGAUUUAUUGGGUUUAAAGGGAGCGUAGGUGGAUUGUUAAGUCAGGUGUGAAAGGUUGCGGCUCAAACGUAAAAUUGCAGUUGAAACUGGCAGUCUUGAGUACAGUAGAGGUGGGCGGAAUUCGUGGUGUAGCGGUGAAAUGCUUAGAUAUCACGAAGAACUCCGAGUGCGAAGGCAGCUCACUGGACUGCAACUGACACUGAGGCUCGAAAGUGUGGGUAUCAAACAGGAUUAGAUACCCGUGUAGUC
rnacentral:rRNA from 1 species